rfam:Glossina morsitans morsitans, isolate Yale, WGS project CCAG01000000 data, contig: ctg10007829
AAGUACCAUAGAAACACGUGCUAACGACAACCAGCCUCCGCGAAAUAAUACCUAACGGGAGUUCCCGCGUAGGAGAGUGGUGGAGGAAAUGUGUGCGGGAGGUAGUUUUUACUAAGUAGGCGCCAUGGAUGGCAAAUCCUGCAUGCUGCAAGAACCAGCAGUAUCAUUUGAAGAUUUCUACCUCCA